rnacentral:rRNA from 1 species
UGGGGAAUAUUGGACAAUGGGCGCAAGCCUGAUCCAGCAACGCCGCGUGUGUGAAGAAGGCCUUCGGGUUGUAAAGCACUUUUAUCAGGAGCGAAACGCUGUCGGCUAAUACCCGGCGGAACUGACGGUACCUGAGGAAUAAGCACCGGCUAACUUCGUGCCAGCAGCCGCGGUAAUACGAAGGGUGCAAGCGUUAAUCGGAAUUACUGGGCGUAAAGCGUGCGUAGGCGGUUUCUUAAGUCUGCUGUGAAAUCCCCGGGCUCAACCUGGGAAUGGCAGUGGAUACUGGGAGGCUAGAGUGUGUCAGAGGGUGGUGGAAUUCCCGGUGUAGCGGUGAAAUGCGUAGAGAUCGGGAGGAACAUCAGUGGCGAAGGCGGCCACCUGGGACAACACUGACGCUGAGGCACGAAAGCGUGGGGAGCAAACAGGAUUAGAUACCCUGGUAGUCCACGCCCUAAACGAUGCGAACUGGAUGUUGGUCUCAACUCGGAGAUCAGUGUCGAAGCUAACGCGUUAAGUUCGCCGCCUGGGGGAGUACGGUCGCAAGACUGAAACUCAAAUGAAUUGACGGGGUCAUAGCUGUUUCC